rnacentral:lncRNA from 13 species
AUUUGAUUGUAUACCUACAAUGUACUAGAAGCAGUGAUCACCACUAUGAACAAUAGCGAACUAUAGAGUUUUAUUUUCCUUGUAAACCUUGCUAUCUUAUGUCCAUCUCUGUUUCUUACUUUCACAUGGAAAAAACUGAAUUCUGCUGAAAAAAUUCGAUGGCAAGAAAGUAACACAGAAUAUGGUCAUUUUGUUCAACAUGUCCUAUGUAUAUUUUCUCAAUUUAAGCCUGGAGCUCAUAUUCCUCUUAGGCCAAAAAUGAUGGAGUCUCGCUCUGUAGCCCGGGCUGGAGUGCAGUGGCAUGAUCUCGGCAAACUGCAACCUCCACCUCCUGGGUUCAAGCUAUUAUCCUCCCUCAGUCUCCUGAGUAGGUGGAUGACAAACGCCUGCCACUGCUCCCUGCCAAUUUUUAAAUUUUUAGUAGAGACUGGGUUUCACCAUGUUGGUCAGGCUAUCUCGAACUUCUGACCUCGUGAUCCUCCCACUUCAGCCUCCUAAAGUGCUGGGAUUACAGGCAUGAGCCACCACGACCAGCAAGUUAUGUGCUUUUUAUGCAGUAAGUAUUCUGAAGCAUUCCUCCAAAUAUACAAUGUCAGCAUCAUAAUGGAGUAACAUACAUGUCA